rnacentral:rRNA from 1 species
CAGCCGUAAACUAUGCGCGUUAGGUGUAUCGGUGACCACGAGUCACCGAGGUGCCGAAGGGAAACCGUGAAACGUGCCGCCUGGGAAGUACGGUCGCAAGGCUGAAACUUAAAGGAAUUGGCGGGGGAGCACCACAACAGGUGGAGCCUGCGGUUUAAUUGGACUCAACGCCGGGAAGCUCACCGGAUAGGACAGCAGAAUGAUUGCCGGGCUGAAGGCUCUGCUUGACUAGCUGAGAGGAGGUGCAUGGCGUGUGACUGU